rnacentral:lncRNA from 1 species
UUUUUUAAAAUUAUUGGUUUUGCUUCAUGCAUCGCACCCACGGCCCAGAUGUGUCCACGUGAGACCAUUCACCCGGGAGUCUUUCAUAUAUCUUCUUCCUUUUAAAACAUCUCACGACUUGCUCGCUUGAAUUUGUUUUUGUUCCCAUGGGUCAGCAACACCUACUUCAAAUGCAAACAACAUCUUGGUCCCACUUGACUAAGCUAUUAGCAUUUCACGGCUCAUCCACUUUUCUAUGGACCAAGUGGUCCAUGGUGGACCAUAGAUUUAUAAAUUGAUAUGGUUCAUCUUCUGACUUUGAAUUUAAUUUUAUUUUGACUCCAUUUUUGGUCUUGUUUGAUCCCUCUAAGCCUGCAGAUUGGCUCUUAAUAUUGGUGCAGCUCUUUUUUGUAAAAUAUAUAAAGAAGUAUCAAUUUUAAAAGAAUAAAGAUAAUUUGAUCCAUAAAUUAAUAUUUCUAUGGAUAAAUUUAUACACCUAUC